AACCGGAUUAGAUACCCUGGUAGUCCACGCCNNNNACGAUGAAUACUAAGUGUUGGAGGGUUUCCGCCCUUCANUGCUGCAGCUAACGCAUUAAGUAUUCCGCCUGGGGAGUACGACCGCAAGGUUGAAACUCAAAGGAAUUGACGGGGGCCCGCACAAGCGGUGGAGCAUGUGGUUUAAUUCGAAGCAACGCGAAGAACCUUACCAGGUCUUGACAUCUUCUGCCAGGCUGAGAGAUCAGCUGUUCCCUUCGGGGACAGAAUGACAGGUGGUGCAUGGUUGUCGUCAGCUCGUGUCGUGAGAUGUUGGGUUAAGUCCCGCAACGAGCGCAACCCUUAUGUUCAGUUGCCAGCAUUCAGUUGGGCACUCUGGACAGACUGCCGGUGACAAACCGGAGGAAGGCGGGGAUGACGUCAAAUCAUCAUGCCCCUUAUGACCUGGGCUACACACGUGCUACAAUGGGUGGUACAACGAGCAGCGAGACCGCGAGGUCAAGCGAAUCUCUAAAAACCAUCCUCAGUUCGGAUUGCAGGCUGCAACUCGCCUGCAUGAAGCUGGAAUCGCUAGUAAUCGCGGAUCAGCACGCCGCGGUGAAUACGUUCCCGGGCCUUGUACACACCGCCCGUCACACCAUGAGAGUUUGUAACACCCAAAGCCGGUGGGACAACCGUAAGGAGUCAGCCGUCUAAGGUGGGACAAAUGAUUAGGGUGAAGUCGUAACAAGGUAACC
rnacentral:rRNA from 1 species